CCUACGGGUGGCUGCAGUGGGGAAUAUUGCACAAUGGGGGGAACCCUGAUGCAGCGACGCCGCGUGGGUGAAGGAGUACUUCGGUACGUAAAGCCCUAUCAGCAGGAAAGAAAAUGACGGUACCUGACUAAGAAGCCCCGGCUAACUACGUGCCAGCAGCCGCGGUAAUACGUAGGGGGCAAGCGUUAUCCGGAUUUACUGGGUGUAAAGGGAGCGUAGACGGCAGUGCAAGUCCGGAGUGAAAGCCCGGGGCUCAACCCUGGGACUGCUCUGGAAACUGUAAAGCUGGAGUGCAGGAGAGGUAAGCGGAAUUCCUAGUGUAGCGGUGAAAUGCGUAGAUAUUAGGAGGAACACCAGUGGCGAAGGCGGCUUACUGGACUGUAACUGACGUUGAGGCUCGAAAGCGUGGGGAGCAAACAGGAUUAGAUACCCUAGUAGUC
rnacentral:rRNA from 1 species